rnacentral:lncRNA from 1 species
GCAGACGCUGCUGGAGGAGCUGGCCGCCGCUGCGUGCUCCGCUGGAGGAGCCCGGGCCCGGGCGGGAGUCCGAGCCGGAGUCGGGGCCGCAGCCCGAGAGCGAGCCGAGGCCGGUGCUGCCCGUGCCGCCGCCGCUGUCCUGGCGGGAGCCCUCGCCCGGUUUCAAGAGUGCGGGGAGCUGGGAGAGUCGAGCAGGAUCGGGACGAAGCUGCCGGCGAGGAUCAGGGCGCUCGGGUGUCUGGGGGCCAGGUCCAGGGCCGGACGCAGCCAGCCAUUCAGGAAGGCAGCGCUGGAGAGCGGGAGGCAGCCGGCGAGGAAGAUCACACACUUUGCUCUUUUUGUUGUGCGGGUGGCGCCGGGUUCUCUCUGCCUUCUUCUUUCGGGAGGUGACGGAAGGGGGAGAAAAAUACGAGAUAAUUCACGCCAGCGACGAAUUCACAGCGAAAUAGGAAAAAAAUAAAAAUCAGAAGAAAAUGCUUGAGAAAAUAAGGAAAAAGAGAAAGCGAGAGAGACAUCCAAAGUGGCCAUGGAAUGGUGUAGCAGAUUGCUGCAGAUGGUUUCAAUAGUUCUGCUGAAUGCUCCUUGUUUGUGCCUGCAAGAGGAACUCAAGGCUUUAUGUAUGGCCAUUGCUGUGACCUAGUGUGAUGCUCUACUUUUCCACUGAACUCUGCUUGCUCUAACUGAGGACCUUAGCUAUAAUUUAGCCUUUUCUUUUUGUAAGUAACUACACAUAGUUGAGACAAAAUUAUUUUGAUGUUUAAAAAACAAUUUUAUUAACCAGGCGGUGGUGGCACACACCUUUAAUCCCAGCACUUGGGAGGCA